rnacentral:lncRNA from 1 species
GGCGGCAUCAAGGAUCUAGGAAGGAGGCGGCAACACAUAUCCAACGAUCUGUUUUUGUUCAUCUAACAUAAGCAUUUUCACCAAAUGAAUAUUUUUCAUACAAAUGUCUGCUUGUACAAGUAAGAACUGCAAUAGUUUAUUCAAACAAACUUAAAUGAUUUGAUGACAGUUGAAACACCAUUCAAAAUUCAAAAUCACUAACCAUAUUUUCCGCCCAACUGCCUUCACAUGCGUGUUGCCUCAUAAAGAGAGUGAAAAGAGAGAGGAUGAACAUUAGCAUUGCAUCUGAAAAAAAAUCAAAAACUAAAUAAGCUACUAGAUAGUGGGAGGUUCAGAUCCAGAGGAAGACGAUAGAGAAACGUACUUGUUGCAGUUCAGACCCGCGCAAUGGGGAAAGUCAUGUUCUGAGCUCACCGGAGUUGGGGAUCUUCCCUUCGCAUCAAGGAG